rnacentral:rRNA from 1 species
AGAGUUUGAUCCUGGCUCAGAACGAACGCUGGCGGCAUGCUUAACACAUGCAAAGUCGAACGAGAGGCUUCGGCCUCUAGUGGCGCACGGGUGCGUAACGCGUGGGAAUCUGCCCUUGGGUUCGGAACAACUCCGGGAAACUGGAGCUAAUGCCGGAUACGCCCUUCGGGGGAAAGAUUUAUCGCCAAAGGAUCGGCCCGCGUCUGAUUAGCUAGUUGGUGGGGUAAUGGCCUACCAAGGCGACGAUCAGUAGCUGGUCUGAGAGGAUGAUCAGCCACACUGGGACUGAGACACGGCCCAGACUCCUACGGGAGGCAGCAGUGGGGAAUAUUGGACAAUGGGCGCAAGCCUGAUCCAGCCAUGCCGCGUGAGUGAUGAAGGCCUUAGGGUUGUAAAGCUCUUUCACCCACGACGAUAAUGACGGUAGUGGGAGAAGAAGCCCCGGCUAACUUCGUGCCAGCAGCCGCGGUAAUACGAAGGGGGCUAGCGUUGCUCGGAAUCACUGGGCGUAAAGGGCGCGUAGGCGGUUGGGUAAGUCGGGUGUGAAAGCCCUGGGCUUAACCUGGGAAUGGCAUUCGAGACCACCUAUCUAGAGUCUGGUAGAGGGAAGUGGAAUUUCCGGUGUAGCGGUGAAAUGCGUAGAGAUCAGGAAGAACAUCGGUGGCGAAGGCGCUCUGCUGGACCAUAACUGACACUCAGGGACGAAAGCUAGGGGAGCGAAUGGGAUUAGAUACCCCCGUAGUCC